ensembl:lncRNA
CACAUGAAAUGAUCCCCUUAAAGGGGGCUCAAUAUGUCUCAAUCUGCACUCCACUUCACUCAAAGCAUUUGGGUAUAUGGGACAGACCCCAGAAAUAUAUUAAUUAAAGCGAGAUGUUCGGCUCACAAAAGACUUACUAGAGGAAAUCGUGACGAAGAUGAAGGAAGACACUACAGUUGUAACAUUUCACCAGCUUUGAAAAACCUCCACCUCAUAACAGAGACAGGUAGGUGUGAGUUAGCCCGGAGGGAUACAAUCAAGCCAACGCCUCAGAAGUCCACUCCAAAAGCGGGUCCAGUGAUAGUCCCGUUAUUGACCCCGUGAUUAUUAGCUUGACCCCGGAGUGGCCUGUAUUGAUGAAGACAGCC